rnacentral:tRNA from 1 species
AAGCGAGGAUAGCUCAGUGGAAAGAGCAGAUGGCUUUUAACCAUCCCGUCGCAGGUUCGAAUCCUGCUCCAGC